rnacentral:rRNA from 1 species
AAUCAACGCUGGCGGCGUGCCUCAGACAUGCAAGUCGAACGAUUAAAGCUCUCUUCGGAGAGUGCAUAGAGUGGCGCACGGGUGAGUAACACGUAAGUAAUCCACCUUCGAGUGGGGAAUAACGUCCGGAAACGGACGCUAAUACCGCAUAAUGCAGCGGCAUCGCAAGAUGACAGUUGUUAAAGAUUUAUCGCUUGAAGAGGAGCUUGCGGCAGAUUAGCUAGUUGGUAAGGUAAUGGCUUACCAAGGCUACGAUCUGUAACCGGUCUUAGAGGACGGUCGGUCACACUGACACUGAAUAACGGGUCAGACUCCUACGGGAGGCAGCAGUCGGGAAUUUUGGGCAAUGGGCGAAAGCCUGACCCAGCAACGCCGCGUGAAGGAUGAAGUAUUUCGGUAUGUAAACUUCGAAAGAAUGGGAAGAAUCAAUGACGGUACCAUUUAUAAGGUCCGGCUAACUACGUGCCAGCAGCCGCAGUAAUAC